UUAAUUGAAACCAAAAAGAGGUAAAUUAUUGUUAAUAAUUUUAUUGAAAUAAAAUUUCCAAUUAAA
rnacentral:tRNA from 1 species